rnacentral:piRNA from 2 species
UGAUCAUAGAACUUCUGGAGCUGCAGGC